rnacentral:tRNA from 1 species
UCGCCGCGCGGCCUGGCGCCAGCCGGCGCCGCGCUAUACGCGCGGGGUACUGUCGAAGUACGCGCGGACGGUGAGUUCGGCCUCCACCGGGGCGGU